rnacentral:ncRNA from 1 species
AAGAGCCGGAUGAUGGGAGACUAUCAAGUCCGGUUCUGCGAGAGCCUCGGGGGGAAGUGCCCCGGGGCUACUCAAC